rnacentral:rRNA from 1 species
AUUGAACGCUGGCGGCAUGCCUUACACAUGCAAGUCGGACGGUAACAGGUCUUCGGAUGCUGACGAGUGGCGAACGGGCGAGUAAUACAUCGGAACGUGCCUAGUAGUGGGGGAUAACUACUCGAAAGAGUGGCUAAUACCGCAUGAGAUCUACGGAUGAAAGCAGGGGAUCGCAAGACCUUGUGCUACUAGAGCGGCCGAUGGCAGAUUAGGUAGUUGGUGGGAUAAAAGCUUACCAAGCCGACGAUCUGUAGCUGGUCUGAGAGGACGAUCAGCCACACUGGGACUGAGACACGGCCCAGACUCCUACGGGAGGCAGCAGUGGGGAAUUUUGGACAAUGGGCGAAAGCCUGAUCCAGCAAUGCCGCGUGCAGGAUGAAGGCCUUCGGGUUGUAAACUGCUUUUGUACGGAACGAAAAGCCCCGGGUUAAUACCCUGGGGUCAUGACGGUACCGUAAGAAUAAGCACCGGCUAACUACGUGCCAGCCGCCGCAGUAA